GCCGCGAUGCUCGUCUCACACAGGCUUACACAGAGACAUCUGUGUGGUCUUCUUUCCGAGCGGGCUAAGGUCUGAGCAAAUUCCUCCUCGAUCGGUCCUAGCUGGACCAUGCGUAGCCAAAGGCUUACUCUGUCCUGCUAAGCGGUCCGCGACAUACCAGAAAUCCUCGUCCUCCGUAACUUAUUCCGAAGACGUUCGAUUACUCGUAGGGCGAAAGGCCCUCCUCUUCUGACAGAGGAAUUACAGGUCGAUGUUGAGAAGUGUCGCGAGGAUUUGGCGGCACCCAUGCUGGCCCAUGCAUCUUUACAGUCAUCACUGCCAGCCUCGUGGGGUUUUGCUUUCACCAGAACGCCCUCCAGGUUACUCAAGGACAUAGGAUCUACAGCACUUUCCACCAACCCUCAGACUGUGUCUUCGGACAUCAUGUCUCGGUGUGCUGCAGAAUAGACUCCUCCCCUCACGUGUAGCAGCAAAGAGGCCGUCUUGCCUCUCCUAUGUCCUCUGGAGGGGGUGGGCGUGACGCUAUUUAGAUGGGUCGCAAGCUGUCGUCAUUGAGUGCAAUUCGUGGCUCGCUUUGGUUUCUACCCCUGCGAAACUCAAUUCAGACUACUCUUCGACUGC
rnacentral:RNase_P_RNA from 2 species